GACGAACGCUGGCGGCGUGCCUAAUACAUGCAAGUAGAAUGCUGAAGAGAGGAGCUUGCUCUUCUUGGAUGAGUUGCGAACGGGUGAGUAACGCGUAGGUAACCUGCCUUGUAGCGGGGGAUAACUAUUGGAAACGAUAGCUAAUACCGCAUAACAAUGGAUGACACAUGUCAUUUAUUUGAAAGGGGCAAUUGUUCCACUACAAGAUGGACCUGCGUUGUAUUAGCUAGUAGGUGAGGUAAUGGCUCACCUAGGCGACGAUACAUAGCCGACCUGAGAGGGUGAUCGGCCACACUGGGACUGAGACACGGCCCAGACUCCUACGGGAGGCAGCAGUAGGGAAUCUUCGGCAAUGGGGGCAACCCUGACCGAGCAACGCCGCGUGAGUGAAGAAGGUUUUCGGAUCGUAAAGCUCUGUUGUAAGUCAAGAACGGGUGUGAGAGUGGAAAGUUCACACUGUGACGGUAGCUUACCAGAAAGGGACGGCUAACUACGUG
rnacentral:rRNA from 1 species